UCCCUGGUAGCUCAGAUGGUAAAGCGUCUGCCUACAAUGCAGGAGACCCAGGUUCGAUCCCUGGGUCGGGAA
rnacentral:tRNA from 1 species